rnacentral:rRNA from 1 species
UACGUAGGGGGCGAGCGUUAUCCGGAUUUAUUGGGCGUAAAGCGUGUGUAGGUGGUUUAUUAAGUUUAAGAUUAAAGCCUGGGGCUUAACUCCAGUUCGUCUUAAAAACUGAUAGGCUUGAGUGUGGUAGAGGUAAAUGGAAUUUCUAGUGUAGCGGUGAAAUGCGUAGAUAUUAGAAGGAACACCAGUGGCGAAGGCGAUUUACUGGGCCAUAACUGACGCUGAGGCACGAAAGCGUGGGUAGCAAAUA